GCCGGGGUAGCUCAGUUGGUUAGAGCGCGGGACUCAUAAGCCCGAGGUCGCCGGUUCGAUCCCGGCUCCCGGUACCA
rnacentral:tRNA from 1 species